AAAACUGUAUUAGGAGUUUUUGAUUAUUAAAUAUUUGUGUUUUUUAUAUGUUGUAACAUCUUAAGGCUUACAUUUUUCCUCUUCAUUAAUCAAACAUUCCCUAUGGACCUACUGAUCAAUUACUAUUUGAAACAGCCAAUGAAGUAUUGAAAUCACCACUGUGGCACUUAUUUUUUAUUUAUUUAUUUUUUUCAAUUCUUCUUUAAAUGGAGGGGUGAACUACAUCCAAAGCACUAAUCAGAGUGUGCAUUUAGAUGUAGAUCAACGUCAUCAAUACAUAUUUAUAUUUAAAAAUACAAAAAUACAAGACACUAAGUAUUUUGAUGCAAAAUAUUAAGGCAUUUUCAUCAGCCCUAUUAAAUACAAAUUACAAAAUACUAUAACGUAGCUGUAUUUAAAAUGUGUGUUUGAAAUACAUGUAGCCUAUCAUAAAUAGUCCCCUUCC
ensembl:processed_transcript